GGUUUGCGAGUCUCUUUCAUCAAUUAACUCCCAAUUUUAUCUAAAAAUUUCGAAGGAAAUGGCGCUGAGGAAGUUCUACAGCGAGAUAAAGGGGUUGAAACUGAAGGAAGUGCCCAACUACGUAAAGCCGAUGCUAUCGAUCGAUUACGUGAAGAAAUCGGUGCAGAAAGGUUUGGACAAUUACCAAGCCAAGUACAUUGAGACCAGCUCCAUUGAUCCUCUCUACCAUAUCUGCUUCGGUGGCAUGAUUUUUU
rnacentral:misc_RNA from 1 species